AAUUGCAAUGCAGCCAUCAAAUCCUGCUUACUAAACAGGCCUAUUCUGGUGUGUUCUUCUGUUCCAAAUGGCUGAAUAUAUAACCCAGGUUGAA